GAUGAACGCUGGCGGCGUGCCUAAUACAUGCAAGUCGAGCGAACAGACGAGGAGCUUGCUCCUUUGACGUUAGCGGCGGACGGGUGAGUAACACGUGGGUAACCUACCUAUAAGACUGGGAUAACUUCGGGAAACCGGAGCUAAUACCGGAUAAUAUUUCGAACCGCAUGGUUCGAUAGUGAAAGAUGGCUUUGCUAUCACUUAUAGAUGGACCUGCGCCGUAUUAGCUAGUUGGUAAGGUAACGGCUUACCAAGGCAACGAUACGUAGCCGACCUGAGAGGGUGAUCGGCCACACUGGAACUGAGACACGGUCAAGACUCCUACGGGAGGCAGCAGUAGGGAAUCUGCCGCAAUGGGCGAAAGCCUGACGGAGCAACGCCGCGUGAGUGAUGAAGGUCUUCGGAUCGUAAAACUCUGUUAUUAGGGAAGAACAAACGUGUAAGGAACUGUGCACGUCUUGACGGUACCUAAUCAGAAAGCCACGGCUAACUACGUG
rnacentral:rRNA from 1 species